UACGGAGGGUGCGAGCGUUGUCCGGAAUUAUUGGGCGUAAAGAGCUCGUAGGCGGUGUGUCGCGUCGGCCGUGAAAACCUGUGGCUUAACCAUGGGCUUGCGGUCGAUACGGGCAUCACUGGAGUUCGGCAGGGGAGACUGGAAUUCCUGGUGUAGCGGUGAAAUGCGCAGAUAUCAGAGGAACACCAGUGGCGAAGGCGGCUCACUGGACUGGUAUUGACGCUGAGGUGCGAAGCGUGGGGAGCAAACAGG
rnacentral:rRNA from 1 species